rnacentral:tRNA from 1 species
AGCAGUGUAGCUCAGCUGUUGGAGUGCUUGCCUAGCAUGCAAGGAGCCCUGGUUUGAGCCCAGCACUGCAC